GCAGGGGAGGUGGUGGUCAGCGUGGAGCCCGAGGUUCCCAUCCGGAAGAUGGACACGGUGGUGAAGCUGGAAGCUAACUCGGACGCGGUGGUGAAGGUGGACGUGAGCGAGGAGGAGAAGAAGAAAAAGAAGAAGA